CCUACGGGUGGCAGCAGUGGGGAAUAUUGCACAAUGGGGGGAACCCUGAUGCAGCGACGCCGCGUGAGUGAAGAAGUAUUUCGGUAUGUAAAGCUCUGUCAGCAGGGAAGAAGAAAGACGGUACCUGACCAAGAAGCCCCGGCUAACUACGUGCCAGCAGCCGCGGUAAUACGGAGGAUGCGAGCGUUAUCCGGAUUUAUUGGGUUUAAAGGGUGCGUAGGCGGCAAUACAAGUCGGAAGUGAAAUACCCGGGCUCAACCUGGGAACUGCUUUGGAAACUGUAUGGCUAGAGUGCUGGAGAGGUAAGCGGAAUUCCUAGUGUAGCGGUGAAAUGCGUAGAUAUUAGGAGGAACACCAGUGGCGAAGGCGGCUUACUGGACAGUAACUGACGUUGAGGCUCGAAAGCGUGGGGAGCAAACAGGAUUAGAUACCCUGGUAGUC
rnacentral:rRNA from 1 species